AAGAAUCUGAGCCUCCCUUGUCCUUUAGAGCAAUCAAGCAGAGUAUCCACAUACUGAAAUACACAACAUUUUCUGUGACAGAUUGACUGGGAUCCCCUCGCACAUCCUCAACAGCUCCCCUUCAGACCGGCAGAUUAACCAGCUGGCCCAGAGGCUGGGCCCUGAGUGGGAGCCCGUGGUGCUGUCUCUGGGACUGUCCCAGACGGAUAUCUACCGCUGUAAGGCCAACCACCCCCACAACGUGCAGUCGCAGGUGGUGGAGGCCUUCAUCCGUUGGCGGCAGCGCUUCGGGAAGCAGGCCACCUUCCAGAGCCUGCACAAUGGGCUGCGGGCUGUGGAGGUGGACCCCUCGCUGCUCCUGCACAUGUUGGAGUGAUGGUGCCUUCAGCAACUGCUGGGGAGUGUGUCCCUGAGUCAUGUGGGCUGAAUCCUGACUUUCACUCAGGGCAGGUGGUUUUUUGUGUAGGUUUGUUUUUUAUUUUUAAUGAUCUUCAGAUGGAGGGAGAAAACAGGGUUUCCACUAGACAUUACUUGAAAGGCCAGAUUACUCAGCAGAUCUCCCACGUUGCCUCAACAAUUCUUUGUUUUUAAUUGCUUGAAGAUUGCAUUGUUGUAAUUGUUCAGUUUUUAAAUGUGUAAUGGCAUUUUAAUAGACUAGUAAAUCACAGUGGUUCAAAAUAUAUAUACAUAUAUAUAUAUCCAUAUAUAUAUGUAUAUAUAUCAUGUCAUCACAUUACAGGCAGGUGUCUCAUAUGUAAAACAUUUACCUGAAUGUUGU
rnacentral:sRNA from 1 species